CUGUCCUGCAGUGAACAUUAUCUAACUCUUAGCGAAGGAAUGUUGGUUUUUUUCACCUCUCUUGAUAAAACAAUGGUCUUAACCCAAACCUUUUCUUCACAGAGUUGAAUCUGAACAUCUCUGUGUGUCCCCAGUUAGAGCAAUAACACUGUUAUUACUUUACUCGGUCCUGGGCUUUCAUUUACUCGAUGCUUCACGCAGCAAAUGAAUCCCUUUGCUUUUGUUAGGGGCGGAGGGGGGGGGGGAGAGAGAGGGAGAGAGGGAUGAAAAACAUAAGCAAAACAGGAAGCAAUGACAAGAUGUGGUUUUAUUGGAUUAUUAGCCCUGGAGCAUGGGGUUUUCAUGAUAUGAUAUUUUUAAGGUGGUAGUAUCCAAAGGUCAUUGAAAGUGUCAGGUCUGUGAUACGUUAGACUGAUAUCUUGAAAUUCAGCUGCUUGAUCAUGUAGCUUAUUGAAAGCUGAAUAUUAGGUUAUCAGCAUGCAUUAUGGUGGCUUGACUUACAGGGAUGUGAUGGAGAGUUUAUUCUUGUUAUGUAAAAUUUAUUGUGCAAUUUUCUUUGGUAAUUCAGGAGUCCGCCACAAGCCAGUGAACUUUGACGUGGAGAGGCACGUGGCAGAGCCAGGCUGUAAAGGCUUCAAGUUAUUUUGCUGGGGCAGAACCCCCUUCACCUGGGCACAAACUCAAGUGUGAACUUUCUUCAAGGUCUUGUGCAACUUAUCCAGGAUCAGAGCCUACAGCAAACAGCACUUCAGCCACAACAGUUCAGCAGCUUGAAGAUGUUGGUUCAUCAUUUUACAGGUCAAAUUCUGAAUGAAGAUAAUUCAUUGUGUGGUCCAUAAGAUGCAGCAAUUAGCACAGACUGUAUAUCGGGGCAGGUGCUUUCCUCCAGCUUGGAGUGUGUCUGGAUCCUUGGCUUGGGUCAUAUCUCCAUCCUCAUUCUGUUUUAACCUGAGGUUUUCCCACUGCAGUGAGAGGAAGAGGCACCAGGAAACUGCUCCACUUUCUCCCACACGUGGCUGGAGGUGGGUGACGACUUGGCAGAUCUUUGGCUCGGGAUCAGAGGCAGCAGCCUGGGAGAGGAGGACUCCUGUGCCGGGAGGAUGUAGCAUCUCCUCCUCUUCUCUUUGUGCAAGGGAGGCCUCGGACACCAGUCUAAGAAGAAGCUAAAGGACAUGCAAUAUUCUUGCAAAAUCAUCCCAUGAAGAGUAAAGGAACUAAAGAAGCCAGAAAUUAGGUAUACAAAAUUAUUCUUUGUUCUUAUUAUUUUUAUCUAGUACUUCAAAUAAUCCCCUGGAGAAAAAUAAGAUUCUAG
rnacentral:lncRNA from 1 species